GAUGAACGCUGGCGGCGUGCCUAACACAUGCAAGUCGAACGGAGAUUACGGACGGAAGUUUUCGGAUGGAAGACUGUAAUUCUUAGUGGCGGACGGGUGAGUAACGCGUGGGCAACCUGCCCUAUACAGGGGGAUAGCAGCUGGAAACGGCUGGUAAGACCGCAUAAGUCGGUUAAAUCGCAUGAUUUGAUCGGGAAAUGAGCAAUCAGGUAUAGGAUGGGCCCGCGCCCGAUUAGCCAGUUGGCAGGGUAAAAGCCUACCAAAGCGACGAUCGGUAGCCGGACUGAGAGGUCGGACGGCCACAUUGGGACUGAGACACGGCCCAAACUCCUACGGGAGGCAGCAGUGGGGGAUAUUGCACAAUGGAGGAAACUCUGAUGCAGCGACGCCGCGUGAGUGAAGAAGUAUUUCGGUAUGUAAAGCUCUAUCAGCAGGGAAGAUGAUGACGGUACCUGACUAAGAAGCCCCGGCUAACUACGUG
rnacentral:rRNA from 1 species